UACGUAGGGAGCAAGCGUUGUCCGGAAUCAUUGGGCGUAAAGCGCGCGUAGGCGGCCUCGUAAGUCCGCUGUAAAAGUCACAGGCUCAACCUGUGAACGCCGGUGGAUACUGUGAGGCUGGAGUCCGGAAGAGGCGAGUGGAACUCCUGGUGUAGCGGUGGAAUGCGCAGAUAUCAGGAAGAACACCAACGGCGAAGGCAGCUCGCUGGGACGGUACUGACGCUGAGACGCGAAAGCGUGGGGAGCAAACAGG
rnacentral:rRNA from 1 species